GCCAGCGUGGUGUAGUGGUUUCAGCUUUGGACUUUGACUCUGGAAACCAGGGUUCAAAUCCCUGCUUGGCC